GACGAACGCUGGCGGCGUGCCUAAUACAUGCAAGUAGAACGCAGUUGCGCACGGGUGAGUAACGCGUAGGUAACUGCCUGGUAGCGGGGGAUAACUAUUGGAAACGAUAGCUAAUACCGCAUACUACCACAUGGACCUGAGUUGUAUUAGCUAGUUGGUGGGGUAACUGGUCACCAAGGCAACGAUACAUAGCCGACCUGAGAGGGGGAUCGGCCACACUGGGAAUGGGACACGGCCCAGACUCCUACCGGAGGGAGCAGUAGGGAAUCUUCGGCAAUGGACGGAAGUCUGACCGAGCAACGCCGCGGGAGUGGAGGAGGUUUUCGGGUCGUAAAGCUCUGUUGUGAGAGGAGCGGUAUCUUACCAGAAAGGAACGGCUAACUACGUGCCAGCAGCCGCGGUAAUUC
rnacentral:rRNA from 1 species